rnacentral:rRNA from 1 species
UACGGAGGGUGCAAACGUUGCUCGGAAUCAUUGGGCGUAAAGCGCACGUAGGCGGACCGCUAAGUCGGAUGUGAAAGCCCUCGGCUUAACCGAGGAAGUGCAUUCGAAACUGACGGUCUUGAGUAUGGAAGAGGGUCGCGGAAUUCCCGGUGUAGAGGUGAAAUUCGUAGAUAUCGGGAGGAACACCAGUGGCGAAGGCGGCGACCUGGGCCAAUACUGACGCUCAUGCACGAAAGCGUGGGGAGCAAACAGG